UACGAAGGUAGUGAAAUAAGGCUUUAAAUGAGCGCUAAGUGAAUGGGCAUAUGGGGGGGCACUAUCUUUAGUAAAAGAUUAGAAUUUUUUUUAAAAAUGAAAAAAUUUUUAUAUACUAGUGGGACAAGAAGACCCUAUGAAUCUUAAUAUUUGUAGCAAACUGGAAUUUGCUAUAAUUAUUUGGUUGGGGCGACAGAAAAAUAAUAAGUAACUUUAUUAUGAAAGUUUAUUAAAACUUGAUGGAAAAGAUACUCUAGGGAUAACAGCGUAAUUAUUUUGGAAAGGCCAAAUUGAUAAAAUAGUUUGCGACCUCGAUGUUGAAUUAGUGGACCUUCUUAGCCGCAGCAGGUUAGAAAGGCAGAUUGUUCAUCUGUUAAAUCACU
rnacentral:rRNA from 1 species